rnacentral:rRNA from 1 species
CUUGGUCAUUUAGAGGAAGUAAAAGUCGUAACAAGGUCUCCGUUGGUGAACCAGCGGAGGGAUCAUUACCGAGUUUACAACUCCCAAACCCAUGUGAACAUUACCUCUAUGUUGCUUCGGCGGAGCCGCCCCGGCGCCCGGAACCCCCUGCGGUCCCGCGGCCCGGAACCAAGGCGCCCGCCGGAGGCCACAAACUCUUCUGUUUUUACAGUUUCUUCUGAGUGUGCCGCAAGGCAGUAUACAAAUGAAUCAAAACUUUCAACAACGGAUCUCUUGGUUCUGGCAUCGAUGAAGAACGCAGCGAAAUGCGAUAAGUAAUGUGAAUUGCAGAAUUCAGUGAAUCAUCGAAUCUUUGAACGCACAUUGCGCCCGCCAGAAUUCUGGCGGGCAUGCCUGUUCGAGCGUCAUUUCAACCCUCGAGCUCCCCUUUCGGGGGGAGCCCGGCGUUGGGGACCCGGCGCUAACAACGCCGGCCCCGAAAUGGAGUGGCGGCCCGUCCGCGGCGACCUCUGCGUAGUAACAACCACUCGCACCGGGACCCGGGCGUGGCCACGCCGUAAAACACCCCACCUUCCGAAUGUUGACCUCGAAUCAGGUAGGAAUACCCGCUGAACUUAAGCAUAUCAAUAAGCGGAGGA